AACAUAAUUUUCCCCGUAACAAAAAGUAGUAUGGGAUUGGGAGGGCAAUCCAUCCAUCCAAGUAUCCAACAAUAAGAAAGAGAAAUCUCGAUCGUGACAAAAGUGGUGCACUCGUGUUAAGUAGGAGUAUAAUUCUCCUUCCCAUGUUACAGUAGGAAAGUUGGUGAGAGAGCCGCCACCCCACUAUUAGAAUAGCCGCUCAACUGAAAACUAUGCAAAAUCUCUCUUUGACCUAAACCUCUCCCUCCGUUGGAGCUCGUCGACCGCACUUCUUUCUACUCCGCCGAACCAAUCUCAGUUUUGGUUUGAAAAGAUAGCCAAAGGCAUGGCGAUCUUCAUUGCAUCUCGUCGCCUCUCCGGCGGAUCGACGACCACGUCCUUGUUGCGCUUCAGUGCUUGUUGGAGAUCGUUCUCGACUUCUUUCAGGGAAGAAAGAGACACAUUUGGACCGAUCAGUGUUCCUUCUGAUAAAUUGUGGGGGGCUCAAACUCAAAGAUCGUUACAGAAUUUUGAGAUUGGUGGUGACCGGGAACGAAUGCCUGAGCCAAUUGUUCGUGCUUUUGGCAUCCUUAAGAAAUGUGCUGCCAAGGUCAACAUGGAAUAUGGUCUUGAUCCAUCCAUAGGGAAAGCAAUUAUGCAAGCAGCUCAAGAGGUGGCUGAAGGAAAGCUAAAUGACCAUUUUCCACUGGUUGUGUGGCAGACUGGCAGUGGGACCCAAAGUAAUAUGAACGCCAAUGAGGUUAUUGCAAAUAGAGCAGCUGAAAUUCUUGGCUAUCAGCGAGGUGAAAAAUUUGUGCAUCCAAAUGACCACGUAAACAGAUCACAAUCUUCUAAUGACACAUUCCCAACGGUGAUGCACAUCGCUGCUGCAAUGGAAAUAAAUUCGAGAUUAAUACCGAACAUGAAACAUUUGCAGGCUUCACUAAAUUCCAAGUCGGUGGAGUUCAAAGAUAUCAUAAAAAUUGGGCGUACUCACACUCAAGAUGCAACACCUUUGACUUUGGGGCAAGAGUUUAGCGGCUACACGACACAAGUGAAAUAUGGAAUUGACCGAGUCCUGUGCACCCUUCCUCGCAUGUAUCAGCUUGCGCAGGGCGGCACUGCUGUAGGGACUGGAUUGAACACCAAAAAAGGGUUUGAUGUAAAGAUUGCUGCAGCAGUAGCUGAAGAAACAAACUUGCCGUUUGUCACAGCAGAAAACAAAUUUGAAGCACUGGCUGCACAUGAUGCUUUUGUUGAAACUAGUGGAGCCUUGAACACAAUUGCUGCUUCCCUGAUGAAGAUUGCAAAUGACAUACGGUUGUUAGGAAGUGGUCCGCGCUGUGGCCUUGGUGAACUCAUUCUUCCUGAAAAUGAGCCUGGCAGCAGUAUUAUGCCUGGGAAAGUGAACCCUACCCAGUGCGAGGCCCUUACUAUGGUUUGUGCUCAGGUUAUGGGAAACCAUGUUGCCGUUACGGUUGGAGGAUCAAAUGGCCAUUUUGAGUUGAAUGUUUUCAAGCCUAUGAUUGCUAAUGCUCUUCUGCAUUCAGUGAGAUUGAUAGGGGAUGCAUCUGCUUCUUUCGAAAAGAAUUGUGUAAGGGGAAUUCAAGCCAAUAGGGAAAGGAUUUCAAAAUUACUGCAUGAGUCGCUAAUGCUCGUCACAUCUUUAAACCCUAAAAUUGGUUAUGACAAUGCUGCAGCAGUUGCCAAGAAAGCCCACAAGGAGGGAAGCACUCUGAAGGAAGCUGCUCUAAAACUUGGAGUACUGAGCGCUGAAGUGUUCGACAAACUUGUAGUUCCAGAGAAAAUGAUAGGUCCCUCGGACUAACUAGCAUGAUAUGCUUUCAGAGUUUGUGAUGAUCCCUAGUCCCCCAAAUAGUUUUCAUGAGGUUAAAGAUUCUGGUUGCGGUAUUCUCCCACAAGAUUUCGCUCUCUGUUUUACUAAAUUUGCUCAGUCUCAAAGUGGAUCAAACCAAAAUAAUAAUGGGGCUGGUCUUGGGCUCGCCAUUUGCAAACGGUUUAUAAAUCUAAUGGGGGGUCACAUUUGGAUUGAAAGCAAGGGAUUGGACAAGGGUACAACAGUUUCAUUCCUUGCAAAACUUGGAAUCUGCAACGAUCCCAAUGAAUCAACAAUGCUGGAGGUUGCAGUUGCCGGUAGAACAGAUCAAGGGAGCGCAGAUGUCAUUGGACGUAACCUAUUUCCUAAAGAACUCCCUCGUUAUCAGAGGAGUCUUUAGACUCAAACUAGGUUGACAUUCUAGCAUCAUUUAUCUUAUGUGUUUGAAGGCGGAACUGAUCAGAAGCCAAGAAGUCAUUCCUGAGAUCGGUAGAACUAAGUUUUCAGUGACAUUUUAUGUAGGCUUUAAGUGAGGGUGCUGCAUAAAGCAACAAAACCUCUCCAUCCGAGGGAUCACAAUAUUUUUCUUUACCCAAUCGUACGUCAGGAUCCCAAUGCAACUAUGUUGGUUUAUUUGGGAAGACAUCGAAUUUACUCAUUCCAUGUAUACAUGAUGGAAUCUAUGGCUAUUUGUCUGCAAA